GAACGGCAGCGCGGGAGCAAUCCUGGCGGCGAGUGGCGAACGGGUGAGUAAUACAUCGGAACGUGCCCAAUCGUGGGGGAUAACGCAGCGAAAGCUGUGCUAAUACCGCAUACGAUCUACGGAUGAAAGCAGGGGAUCGCAAGACCUUGCGCGAAUGGAGCGGCCGAUGGCAGAUUAGGUAGUUGGUGAGGUAAAGGCUCACCAAGCCUUCGAUCUGUAGCUGGUCUGAGAGGACGACCAGCCACACUGGGACUGAGACACGGCCCAGACUCCUACGGGAGGCAGCAGUGGGGAAUUUUGGACAAUGGGCGAAAGCCUGAUCCAGCCAUGCCGCGUGCAGGAUGAAGGCCUUCGGGUUGUAAACUGCUUUUGUACGGAACGAAACGGCCUUUUCUAAUAAAGAGGGCUAAUGACGGUACCGUAAGAAUAAGCACCGGCUAACUACGUG
rnacentral:rRNA from 1 species